GCCUAUAGCUCAGUUGGUUAGAGCAGAGGACUCAUAAUCCUUUGGUCCCAGGUUCAAGUCCUGGUGGGC
rnacentral:tRNA from 2 species